GCCAUUGAAGGGGCUGGCUCAGGGUGGCCGGUCAUUCUGACAUUGUUCCCAGUUCUCCAGUAUUGACCGUAUCAGGAGAAAGGUUUUCACUUUCUCUUGGAUCCUGACAUCAGGGGGGAAAAAUGCAGUGUCAUAGAAAAAAAAAAAAAGUAAAGAUCAGCAGACAAGAGGAAAAGUAACUGAAGAGCUGUUUCCUGUGCCUGCCCCUGAGAGCUGAUGGCUUCCCAGAGAUGCCUCACAGUCCUGCGCAGACAGAGAGAAUGCAGAAGCUGGCAAAGGAUCCUCCACACGCAAGAUCAGAGGACGUCCCAGAUCAUCUUUUCUUUGUGGAUACUGCAGGUCUACGUGAAAUAGUGUGUUUUUGCGGGGUGCUGUCCCUUAGGACAAGUGAAGGGCUGAUGAGAAAGGAAACUGCGUGAGCCAGGUGUACAGUAAGGAGCAGACAACAUGGCACUGGCCAAGUGGAAAGGCUGUUUGCAUAAUAAGAUUACGAUGGGGUGGCCUGCCUUCCCUGUGUGCUACGUAAACAUCACACCUGAUCCAACCAAUCUGCAGGCCCUACAUAAAUCAGACACCGCCUCCUCCAGCCUGCCUAUAAAAUCUGGUACACUCCACGUGGGCCAGAAGUCCCAUUUGGAUGCCCCUCUCUUUCGCAAGAGAGAGAGCUGUUCUCCUUUCUCUUUCUUUUGCCUAUUACAUUCCGCUCCUAAAGUCACUUCUCAUGUAUGUCCACGUCCUUAAUCUUCUUGAUGCAAGACAAUGAACCCGGGUAUUUACCCCAGACAACAACACCACUUCACUAGGAGUUAAAAGAACUUGAAAUGCAAAUUCAUGGUCAUCUGGUUCCAAAGCCCAUAUUAACAAAAUUUUUUUAAUUGUGAUAAAAUACACAUAACAUAAAGUUGACCGUGUUAACUGUUUUUAAAUGUACAGUCCAGUAGUGUUAAGUACAUUCACAUUGUUGGGCAAUCCUUCUUCAGAACUUUUUAAGUUUCCCAAACUGAAGCUCUGCGUCUAUUAAGAACAACUCUUUCUUCCAAUCCCCAGCUGUUGGCAACUAUCAUUCUACUUUCUGUCUUUAUGCAUUUAAUAAUUCUACGUACCUCAUAUAAAUGAAAUCAAAUGGUAUUUGUAACUGGCUUAUUUCACUUAGCAUAAUAUCCUCAAGAUUCAGUCAUAUUGUUAUAUGUGUCAUAAAUUGCAUUUGUAAUAUCACAAACUACACCUUGAUAUAUUGUCUACUGAUUAGCAUGGAUUUAUAAUUAUUUUUAUGCUUUGCCUUCUACAUUCUAUAAAAGAAUAAAAAGUUGAGUUAAAAACCAAAAUUAUAAUAAUGAAA
ensembl:lncRNA LINC02817 long intergenic non-protein coding RNA 2817